AAUUUAGAUUGUAUAUAUGUGAAAGAACUUAAUUCAAGAAACUCCAUGAGGUUAAGAUCAUUGCUGAAUACAUUUGAUCUGUCUGUCAAAAAACAGAUUACUGCUUUCAUGUCCAGCUAGAGGCAUCGAGUAGUAAUCCGUGCGCGUAAAAUCAUCACUGGUCUAUUAAAGAGUGCAAUUUCUGUCGAAAGACGGGGAUUUUGCUAGCGUCUAUUGCCAUUACCAAGCCAGUUAGCCGAUAAUCUUUGAGCUCGUCAGUCCUAACCAGCUGUGUAUGCAAAGGAAAACUGAAGGACCAAGAGCUUAACUCGUGAAAGAUUUCGUCUUCUGCUUUAAUGUAUACAAUAGAUUGAUCACCACUUGGUCCAUUUUGCUUGUCCGCAUUCUUAUGCUUGUAGAUUUUACUGAUUACUAGGUAAAACUUGAAGCAGAAAGAACUCCGGAGCUCCUCUGUAGGCUCAUCCUCUGUAGCCCAAGAGACUUCAUCAAAAAGUGCAUCAUAAAGGGGUGGCAAAAGCUGGGGAGGA
rnacentral:misc_RNA from 1 species